GGAACCUAUCACUCUGGGACAUAGAAGAAGGAAGAUAGUUCAUGUGUGGGGUAGGUGUAUCCAGGGCCGUUCUGGUUCUUAGAGAUGAAGCCUGAGCUUGAACCAAGUACUUCCCCUCCUGAUUCCUACUCGCUCACUGGCAUGGUGCAGGGAUUGCAAUAAGGACGAGAUGGGAUUUUCGCUUUGCUUUGGGGCUGAGUUGGAGCGUCUGACCUUGAAGAUCCCAGCGGCAUCUGCGAGCUCAUUCAGGUGGUUGGCAAGAGAGAACGGCAGUCGUUCCAAGUUAUCCCGUGGAUAUGUCCAGAGGUGCCCAUGCAGUGGAUGCUCCCAUUGCUAAGGGGCAGGGGGUUGCGAGAAUAUGAUCCCAGCAUGAAGUAUGAACCUCAUAUUCUUAUUGGAGGCCUGAAAACAAUGAAUUGUAGUGGAAAGCUGC
rnacentral:lncRNA from 1 species